AUGAACGCUAGCUACAGGCUUAACACAUGCAAGUCGAGGGGCAGCAUGGUCUUAGCUUGCUAAGGCCGAUGGCGACCGGCGCACGGGUGAGUAACACGUAUCCAACCUGCCGUCUACUCUUGGACAGCCUUCUGAAAGGAAGAUUAAUACAAGAUGGCAUCAUGAGUCCGCAUGUUCACAUGAUUAAAGGUAUUCCGGUAGACGAUGGGGAUGCGUUCCAUUAGAUAGUAGGCGGGGUAACGGCCCACCUAGUCUUCGAUGGAUAGGGGUUCUGAGAGGAAGGUCCCCCACAUUGGAACUGAGACACGGUCCAAACUCCUACGGGAGGCAGCAGUGAGGAAUAUUGGUCAAUGGGCGAGAGCCUGAACCAGCCAAGUAGCGUGAAGGAUGACUGCCCUAUGGGUUGUAAACUUCUUUUAUAAAGGAAUAAAGUCGGGUAUGGAUACCCGUUUGCAUGUACUUUAUGAAUAAGGAUCGGCUAACUCCGUGCCAGCAGCCGCGGUAAUACGGAGGAUCCGAGCGUUAUCCGGAUUUAUUGGGUUUAAAGGGAGCGUAGAUGGAUGUUUAAGUCAGUUGUGAAAGUUUGCGGCUCAACCGUAAAAUUGCAGUUGAUACUGGAUAUCUUGGGUGCAGUUGAGGCAGGCGGAAUUCGUGGUGUAGCGGUGAAAUGCUUAGAUAUCACGAAGAACUCCGAUUGCGAAGGCAGCCUGCUAAGCUGCAACUGACAUUGAGGCUCGAAAGUGUGGGUAUCAAACAGGAUUAGAUACCCUGGUAGUCCACACGGUAAACGAUGAAUACUCGCUGUUUGCGAUAUACUGCAAGCGGCCAAGCGAAAGCGUUAAGUAUUCCACCUGGGGAGUACGCCGGCAACGGUGAAACUCAAAGGAAUUGACGGGGGCCCGCACAAGCGGAGGAACAUGUGGUUUAAUUCGAUGAUACGCGAGGAACCUUACCCGGGCUUAAAUUGCAGAUGAAUUACGGUGAAAGCCGUAAGCCGCAAGGCAUCUGUGAAGGUGCUGCAUGGUUGUCGUCAGCUCGUGCCGUGAGGUGUCGGCUUAAGUGCCAUAACGAGCGCAACCCUUGUUGUCAGUUACUAACAGGUUCCGCUGAGGACUCUGACAAGACUGCCAUCGUAAGAUGUGAGGAAGGUGGGGAUGACGUCAAAUCAGCACGGCCCUUACGUCCGGGGCUACACACGUGUUACAAUGGGGGGUACAGAGGGCCGCUACCACGCGAGUGGAUGCCAAUCCCCAAAACCUCUCUCAGUUCGGACUGGAGUCUGCAACCCGACUCCACGAAGCUGGAUUCGCUAGUAAUCGCGCAUCAGCCACGGCGCGGUGAAUACGUUCCCGGGCCUUGUACACACCGCCCGUCAAGCCAUGGGAGCCGGGGGUACCUGAAGUGCGUAACCGCGAGGAGCGCCCUAGGGUAAAACUGGUGACUGGGGCU
rnacentral:rRNA from 1 species